AACGAACGCUGGCGGCGCGCCUAAUACAUGCAAGUCGAGCGAGAAGACGUAGCAAUACGUUUGUAAAGCGGCGAACGGGUGAGGAAUACAUGGGUAACCUACCCUAGAGUGGGGAAUAACUAGCCGAAAGGUUAGCUAAUACCGCGUACGCUCCUUGGACUUCGGUUCAGGGAGGAAAGCGAUACCGUGGGUAUCGCGCUCUUGGAUGGGCUCAUGUCCUAUCAGCUUGUUGGNGAGGUAACGGCUCACCAAGGCUUCGACGGGUAGCUGGUCUGAGAGGACGAUCAGCCACACUGGCACUGCGACACGGGCCAGACUCCUACGGGAGGCAGCAGUAAGGAAUAUUGCGCAAUGGGCGAAAGCCUGACGCAGCGACGCCGCGUGGGGGAGUGAAGGUC
rnacentral:rRNA from 1 species